rnacentral:rRNA from 1 species
AGUGAACGCUGGCGGUAGGCCUAACACAUGCAAGUCGAACGGCAGCACAGUAAGAGCUUGCUCUUACGGGUGGCGAGUGGCGGACGGGUUAGGAAUACAUCGGAAUCUACUUUUUCGUGGGGGAUAACGUAGGGAAACUUACGCUAAUACCGCAUACUACCUACGGGUGAAAGCAGGGGAUCUUCGGACCUUGCGCGAUUGAAUGAGCCGAUGUCGGAUUAGCUAGUUGGCGGGGUAAAGGCCCACCAAGGCGACGAUCCGUAGCUGGUCUGAGAGGAUGAUCAGCCACACUGGAACUGAGACACGGUCCAGACUCCUACGGGAGGCAGCAGUGGGGAAUAUUGGACAAGGGGCGCAAGCCUGAUCCAGCCAUACCGCGUGGGUGAAGAAGGCCUUCGGGUUGUAAAGCCCUUUUGUUGGGAAAGAAAAGCAGCAGGUUAAUACCCCGCUGUUCUGACGGUACCCAAAGAAUAAGCACCGGCUAACUUCGUG